CAGCAGCCGCGGUAACACAGAGGGUGCGAGCGUUAAUCGGAUUUACUGGGCGUAAAGCGUGCGUAGGCGGCUUUUUAAGUCGGAUGUGAAAUCCCUGAGCUUAACUUAGGAAUUGCAUUCGAUACUGGGAAGCUAGAGUAUGGGAGAGGAUGGUAGAAUUCCAGGUGUAGCGGUGAAAUGCGUAGAGAUCUGGAGGAAUACCGAUGGCGAAGGCAGCCAUCUGGCCUAAUACUGACGCUGAGGUACGAAAGCAUGGGGAGCAAACAGGAUUAGAUACCCCCGUAGUCCCUGUCUCUUAUAC
rnacentral:rRNA from 1 species